CGGGACUGCCCUGCCCGAGGAAAGCAGAGGGAAGGAGCGGGAGAGGGAGGGGGCGGCGGCCGGUGGGAACGCAGGUUCUUCCUGGGAAUCGGAGCGGGACUGCCGCGUUCCCCUCGAUUUGCACCGUCUCUCCGACCGCCUGGGAAGAAGAGGGAGGCGCUGUGCGUGCCGCGGGGUACCUGGCCCUGGGCGCACCGUGUGCGUGAAGGUGUAUGUGUGUCUGCGCCCGCUCUCUCAGGGCUCUGGGCUCCCGCAGCGCCCAGAGAGAGUUCGAGGGUCAUCUCCAGAAACUCGCAGAAACUGGAAGAGGGUGAGGGAAGGACACACCUCCUUCCUCCGAAGGACUUGGAAGACUUUGUAUCACCCCUCCCCCGCUUUUCCGCCCGGCUCUUCUUUUGUUGUCAAGUCCUUUUGAUAAAUGGUGGGGCUGGGAGCGCUGGGAGCCUGGAGUCGGUCUGUACCGCGCAGGGCGGGGACCGAGGCUGGAGGCCGGGUUCCGACCGGGGCGCACCCGGAGGGGAGCCGAGUACGCGCGGGGGUCCGGACUAGGACCUGCCCUCGCGUGCUCGUCCCUUCCCCUCGAGCCACCCCACUCACUUCCCCCUUCUGUCUGUCUCCCACUCCGCAAGGGUACCGAGAACUUUGUGGGAAUCGACGGAUUUCUCUGGCAGUCGUUUGCACUGAAUUUAUCCGAAUAAAGCCCACUCUCAGGCAUCCAGCAGAACCAGCUCUCCACUGGCAAGUACUUGCUGUAGCAGCCAUCUUGUCACCAGGAGGAAAAGUGCAAGAAAACAGCAGAGACUUAAUUCUGAUGUCACUGGGACAUGGACCUACCAUCAUACCAGGGAUUGAACUCGGGACCUUGCACUCACCAGGCAGGUGCGGCACCACUGAGGGCCUGCUUCAGCCUCUAGAAGCUAAAAGGACUAUAUCCUCCUUCUUCCUGGCCUGGCAGUUGAAGUUCCACCAAGCGGACACCCCAUCCGGACCUCUGACUCUCAAGGGAGUCCUGCCCAGGGUGGACUUGAACUCCUGCUUCAGUCUCCUGAGUGCUGGGAUUACAGGUGUGCAUUACCGUACCUCGAAACAGCUGCCUUUUAAGGCCUUAAGCCACCCAGGCUUUGGAACAGAGGAGCAGAUCAAAGCCAGGUGCAGCUGCGCUGGGACACUCUCCUUUUUGGCUGGGGUGACACUUUGCCCUUGGAAGCACUGGUGUUCAUGUUCACCAUUCAAGGAUACGCAAAGUGACAGCAUGAAGACAGGCACAGCUUUGUGUUUGCUGUUCCCUCUACCUGGUAAACCCUUCUCCCAAGUUGGCCCAUAGCUGCUCUAUCUCAGGAAUCAGACUCUACCUCAAUGUCCCUCUGCUACCUACCAGUACACUCCACGGCUGCCUGAGAUUGUGCAGUUUGGGCAUCACAGAAGCACCAUCCAGGGGAGGUGGGUGAGGCCAAAGUCCCCUCCAUCUCUGCCCCUCAAGGUUUUACCAGAGAGGGGCCAGCAGACACCUUGGUCACUGUGUCUAAGUCACCACUCUCCACCUUCCAACACUCUCUCCCAUUGUUCACUUUUGCCUCCACAGCAUGAAUCAGCACUCUCUGAAACUGUGCCUUUCACACAUUGGAAAUAUAUUGUUAACCUACUUGUUACCUGUGUCCUCCUACCGUAAUGUAAAUCUCCCAGGAGUGAAGUCUGCCUUGUUCCUGUUUGUUCCUCUAGUGCCUGAGAUGUAGUAGAUGGUAAAUAAAUACUCAGUAAGCAGUG
ensembl:lncRNA